AGUGAACGCUGGCGGUAGGCCUAACACAUGCAAGUCGAACGGCAGCACAGUAAGAGCUUGCUCUUACGGGUUGCGAGUGGCGGACGGGUGAGGAAUACAUCGGAAUCUACUUUUUCGUGGGGGAUAACGUAGGGAAACUUACGCUAAUACCGCAUACGACCUACGGGUGAAAGCAGGGGAUCUUUGGACCUUGCGCGAUUGAAUGAGCCGAUGUCGGAUUAGCUAGUUGGCGGGGUAAAGGCCCACCAAGGCGACGAUCCGUAGCUGGUCUGAGAGGAUGAUCAGCCACACUGGAACUGAGACACGGUCCAGACUCCUACGGGAGGCAGCAGUGGGGAAUAGUGGACAAUGGGCGCAAGCCUGAUCCAGCCAUACCGCGUGGGUGAAGAGGGCCUUCGGGUUGUAAAGCCCUUUUGUUGGGAAAGAAAAGCAGCAGGUUAAUACCCCGCUGUUCUGACGGUACCCAAAGAAUAAGCACCGGCUAACUUCGUG
rnacentral:rRNA from 1 species